UCCCAGAAAUAUUAUGAUUUCGAAUUUCCACUAGCUGAAUAACGGGUAUCCACGGUCGUGGAAGUUGACUAUUGCUUUCUCUCAAGUUCCUAUCUGUUUACCUUGUUAGCAAUUAUGUCAUUAUCCAAAUGACAUAAUUGAUAAAUAACUGUGUUUCACAACACUAAAUCACCUGUGUUCACCAACUCUUAAGGUAAACAAACGCUUAAAAAAAGACGCAAAGCGGCAUUUUGGUCGUUUUGUGCUACGCUGUUCACUUUUUCUUUUGUUUAUGGAAGGUAUGGGAAUGGGCAGACACCGCGGCGACUGCGUCUUCAAGCUGGGCUUGUAUGACGAAUUACUGGUAACUGGUACUGGUAGUUGUGCCGAAAACAGUUCUAACAGCGGACUAGCGAUGUCAUACCUGCCGCCUGAAAUCGGGGAUUUUAAUUGUGAGCUAAAACUGUGAUAACAUAUACAUAUUGAUACAUAUUGAAUUCCUCAGUGGUGCAGGAUGUCAGCACACGGCCAUUAUUCACUAAAGCGUGCCGAAUAAGUAUGUAGAGACACUACUGUGAAGUAAUCUUCCGUUUUAGUAUUCACAACAAACUAACUCGUUUUCCGUUCCCCUUUGAGGAAUUUAGGGGGUCUUCGAACGGUAUCGGUAUUGUCUCGCAAGACAAAUAACCUAUUACAAUGAUUUCAGGAACCUUAAAAGAAAGCGAAUAAAAUUAAUUGUUUAUAGUCUGGGCGGUUCGGACCACGAGCCUUUGAUGUUUGCAGUGUCCGACCGUAAUCCUAACUCGAAGAUAAAAUGAUUUAAAACGUACAUAUAUAGGCGAUCAAAAGGGAAUGCUCCAAUAUUACCCAGGAAGAGAAAAUAACUUCAUCAGCACAUCUACCACUUCAGAAUAUAAAUGCUCUGUGAAGUGAAGUGGCAUCCGGCGCGGCAUGAAUCCAUAACUAUAGUUAACAUAGACGAUAAAGGCUACGGUUCAACAAAACACAUUAGUAUAUCAAGAUGCGUAACGGCCAUACAUUGGUUUUGCACUAUGCAGUCACUUAUUUGUGACACCCGAAAAAUUGCUGCGUAAAAUGAGAGUGUAUGUGUGCGUAUUUGUGCUUGAUAACGAAACCAAUUUUGAUCUAGGAAUCGAAGUUAUAUUUUAUCACAAUUAUUUUUUUAAAGAAGCGUUUUUAAAUAAGAUUUGUAUUUAUGUUAAAAUUAAUAACAUGUACAAUGACACUGACUACAAACUUCAACAGGAGACUGUGACCAAAUUUCAGAAAAAUCGGAAUUAAAACUGAAUAAGUUGUCCACCCUACUGUCUGGAAAACAGCUUCGAGGUGCAAAACAUUCAGAUAGCAAAAAUUUGGCGAAAACCAGAGCACCUAAAAACGAUAUAGGAAGAUUUCGUACAUAUCGAAAUCGAAAAAAAUUAAAAUUUUUCUUGAGAAAUCGAUACAAAAUUUACAAAAAGUCAAUACCAUUUACAUAGACAAACUGCACAACCACCCAAACACUCUAGCGAUCAAAUUACUGGACAACAAUCGAUGUAUAAGGAGACUUAAAAGAUAUCACCCAUCUUGAAAACUGAAUUUACCACUAUCCUCAUCCCAACCCUUCCCCCAAUACUAUACUAAAGACUCACAUUUGUAAAAAAACUCACCAGCUAAGUUUAUAAGCAAAAAUGUAAUCAUUGCCCAAAAGGGCAGCGUAACGGAUAUAAACUUUAUGGCAGCAGGGUUGAUAAUUUGGAAACAAUUUAGGUAUUCAAAAAAAGCAAUACAAAUAAAGGCUCUGUUUAGCCAAUGAGCUUUUUCAUCAGCUUUUGAAUUAAUAACACUUAUUGUUCUGAUAUUAUUCUUUGUUUAUUGUAGUUUAUUGACAUCGAAAGAGUCAAAUCAGCGCGAAAAUGAGUUUAAAACUGAGAGAGAUCAGUACAAAGUUAAGCUUUAAGAUAAGAACUUUUGCUUAGAUAAAUAAGCGAAUAAAUGAGCAAGAGGAAAACUAUGAUUGAUUUACGCUAAUCUUAACUAUUACAAAUGGACCGACAGGCACCAUAAACUAUAGUAAAAAAAUAUUAGAAUAUCCAAUACAUAAAAUCUAAUCUACUUUGGUCAAGCCUAAUAAGUAUAAGAACUUAACGUAACUUAUUCUCCUGUACUUGGAAUCUAAACGGAAACAUAACUCUUCUUAUUUUUAUGCGUACUUUUAUCUACUUUAAGUUCAACAGGUUAUGGGUUCAUUUACAACCUGUCCGAGAUAAUGCUCAUAUGUAUGUUUAGAGAGCAGAUUAUUACUGUGUGUGUGUUGAUCGUUAAGCUAAAUAAACAUUUUUCUGUACGACAAAUUGGGCGAGUCUAAUUGUGACUCGUGUUGUGUGCAGAUGAAAAGUGUAUUGGUGCAUAAAGAACUGGGAUCAAUUAUUUCACAGGAAUCGCGCUAUCGGUUAAAGGGUAACAAACAUCAAAAAAUCUUAUUCUGCCAAGAAGACUUUUACAAAAUUACAAGAAAUUCAUCACCCAUGGGAAAAGUGUCAUUUCGAAUGUUCUCGAUCAGUUGACUGAGAUGGGCAUAGUUUUGCUGUAGGAACUAUUUGUAAUAAUGCUAUUGGCAAGCUUACCAAAGUCAUUUCAAAAUCUAGUCGUGACAAUAAAAUCUCGUAAUGAAGAAACUGAGCGCCGAAAAUUGUGACUUAAAUAUAUGAAAAAUAAGCGACGCGUUACAGUGCUUCCGUCAGAGGCCAAAUAUAAAAAAAACCGUCUAAAUUGAUUUACUUAUAAUGUUACCAAAUUGUCUCCAAAUAGUCCAAAUAUUUCCAGCCAAAACCAGUUUUUGCUUCAAACCUAACAGUACUUUCUAAACAUAGAAUUAAAGUUAUGCAAACGUGUUCAUUUGUGAAGCGAAAUUGCAUGAAUUGUAAUUUCUGCAUUGCAAAAGCAAACUUCAAAGGCAUCAAACUUUCAGUGAGGAGCUUCGAUUUAAAUAAUUUAAAAUGGAUUUUAAAGUAGAAGGUAUUUACUUCGUAUACAAAAACUAAUAAUUACUAAUCGGUUGGCCUUUUUAUUGUCUUUUUUAUGGGUAUUAUUAUGAUUACUUAAACUUUUAGUUGUGUUCCUCAUAAUCCUCAUAUAUCCUCAUGUGUGUUUCCACACCUAUAUAUUUUAGAUUUAUGGUGCACAAAGAAGGGUACCCACGGAAAGAAAUACAAGAAGUCAUCAGUACAAUGUAAUAUUGAAAACAGCGGCCACAUGCCUAUAGUAACUGAAUGGACUGAAUGUGUUGAAAAAAUUUGUCAAGUAUAUUUGAGCUUCAAGCCGAGGUAGUCGAUUGUGUGAUGAUUGCGUUUUACAAAUAUUUUUACUAAUUGGAAAGUGGAGAUUUAAUGGAAGUACCGGUCAUAGCGAAUAUAAUCAAAAGUUUUCCAAUAAUGAUUUACAGGAUACAAUUUUAUUUGUUACAUCCUACGUACCUCUCCAACUAAUUUCAAAAGAUAACCAACAAAUAAUUUGGAAAAACUACAGACCAUCGUUACAGCAGGCCAGUACGAUAUCAACUUAAAAAAGAGACAACCAAACUUUCAAUCGAAGACCUUCUGAAUCCAACUGAAGUAUUUAAAAAUGAUAAAAAGAUAAAUGUUAAACAUAGCUAAUACCUAACCAUGGUGGAUGGGAAAAUAUGCAAGGCCUUAAGUGAAUCUUCGUCUAUGAAAUAUUACUUAUGUGGAGCAAGUCCCACAGAAAUGAAUCACUUGGCAAAAUGUAUGAGUAAAGACGUAAAAACUCAAUUUUUUGAAUUUGGUUUAUCUAAACUUCAUUAUUAAUUAAUUGUUAUCAUACUGUUUAUUAUCAUUACCUUAAAUUAAUAAUAAAUGCAACAAUUUAAUGUUUCCUCA